rnacentral:rRNA from 1 species
AUGGACGACGCCGGCGAGAUACACGCGUUCGGGCGCAGCCUGCGGCGGGAGAGCUCGGUGUGGUCGCGCGGCGGGGACGACCUGUUCUCGCGGUCGUCGCGGGACGAGGACGACGAGGAGGCGCUGCGAUGGGCGGCGCUGGAGAAGCUGCCCACCUACGACCGCGCGCGCACGGCGGUGCUGGCCAUGCCGGAGGGGGAGCUCAAGGAGGUGAACGUGGAGAAGCUGGGCGCGCAGGAGAAGCACGCGCUGCUGCAGCGCAUCGCCUGGGUCGGCGACGACCACGAGCGCUUCCUCUCCAAGUUCAAGGACCGCGUCGACCGAGUGGGGAUCCAGCUGCCGACGAUCGAGGUGAGGUACGACAACCUCAACGUGGAGGCGGAGGCGUACGUGGGGAGCAGGGGCCUGCCCACCAUCCUCAACACCUACGCCAAUGUACUCGAGGGCUUGGCAAAUGCUCUCCACCUAACACCAAACAGGAAGCAGAAAAUAUCAAUCCUUCACAAUGUCAGUGGAAUCAUCAAGCCUCACAGGAUGACCUUGCUUUUGGGCCCCCCUGGCGCGGGAAAAACCUCACUGCUUUUGGCCUUGGCCGGAACCCUGCCUUCGAGUCUUAAGAUGUCAGGGGACAUAAUUUACAAUGGCCAUACCAUGGAUGAGUUUGUGCCACGGAGAUCGGCAGCUUAUGUUAGCCAACAUGAUCUGCAUAUGGCGGAACUGACUGUCCGUGAGACAGUCAACUUCUCUGCAAAAUGUCAAGGAAUUGGUCACCGUUACGACCUGCUAAUGGAGCUAUCCAGGAGAGAAAAGGAAGAAAAUAUCAAACCAGAUCCAGAAACAGAUAUCUACUUGAAGGCUGCCGCGACAGGAGAGCAGAAAGCCGAGGUGGUCACAAAUCACAUUCUGAAGGUCUUGGGGUUGGAUAUCUGUGCCGAUACACUGGUAGGCAAUAAUAUGUUGAGAGGCAUAUCAGGAGGGCAAAAAAAGAGAGUAACUACAGCUGAGAUGCUUGUCACACCAGGACGAGCCCUUUUCAUGGAUGAGAUAUCAACUGGACUUGACAGCUCAACAACCUUCCAGAUUGUGAACUCCAUCCGACAAACAAUCCACAUUAUUGGUGGAACAGCAGUCAUUGCCUUGCUACAACCUGCACCAGAGACAUAUGAAUUGUUUGAUGAUAUAAUUCUCCUCUCAGACGGUCAGGUUGUCUACAAUGGCCCUCGAGAACAUGUGCUCGAGUUCUUUCAAUCAAUGGGAUUCAAAUGUCCUGAGCGAAAAGGCGUAGCUGACUUCUUGCAAGAAGUUACAUCAAGAAAAGAUCAAGGACAAUACUGGAUAAACAGUGAUGAGACAUACCGAUAUGUUCCUGUUAAGGAGUUUGCGGAGGCAUUUCAAGCUUUCCACGUUGGUCAAGCUAUAAAGAGUGAGUUAGCAGUGCCGUUUGACAAGAAUGGAAGUCAUCCUGCAGCUCUGAAAACUUCACAAUACGGUGCCAGCAUGAAGGAACUACUCAAAGCUAAUAUCAACAGAGAGAUACUGCUCAUGAAAAGAAACUCCUUUGUGUAUAUAUUCAAGGCCACCCAGUUGACACUCAUGGCGAUCAUCGCAAUGACUGUCUUUCUGCGCAUCAAUAUGCAUCAUGACUCGGUGACAGAUGGAGGGAUAUACAUGGGUGCUCUCUUCUUUGGGAUUUUGAUGAUCAUGUUCAAUGGUUUAGCAGAAGUAGGUCUAACUAUUGCAAAGCUCCCUGUUUUUUUCAAGCAACGGAAUCUUCUCUUCUUUCCAGCAUGGACAUACACGUUGCCGUCAUGGCUCAUUAAGACCCCUCUCUCCUUGCUCAAUGUAACAAUUUGGGUCGGCAUAACAUACUAUGGCAUUGGAUUUGAUCCCAACGUACAGAGAUUUUUUAGGCAGUUCCUGCUGCUCUUUUUAAUGAACGAGGCAUCGUCUGGACUCUUUCGCUUCAUUGCUGGUCUUGCAAGGCAUCAGGUUGUUUCAAGCACCCUCGGUUCCUUCUGCAUACUAAUUUUUAUGCUCACUGGUGGAUUCGUCCUGGCAAGAGAGAAUGUAAAGAAAUGGUGGAUAUGGGGGUACUGGAUAUCACCCCUGAUGUACGCACAAAAUGCACUAUCGGUGAAUGAGUUCCUAGGUCACAGCUGGAACAAGACAAUCCCCGGUUUCAAGGAACCACUUGGAAACCUAGUUCUGAAAUCUCGAGGGGUCUUUCCUGAUACGAAGUGGUACUGGAUUGGUGCUGGUGCCUUGCUCGGAUAUGUGCUACUAUUUAAUAUCCUCUAUACCGUCUGCCUCACAUUCCUCGACCCAUUUGACAGCAACCAGCCAACAGUAUCUGAAGAAACAUUGAAGAUAAAACAAGCUAAUCUCACUGGUGAAAUUUUAGAAGAAUCAUCGAGAGGACGGGUUAACAACAGUACAAUAGCAUCUAGAGAUACUGAGGAUGGGAGCAAUGAUGAAUCAACUUCCAAUCAUGCAACAGUGAAUUCUAGUCCAGGCAAGAAAGGAAUGGUCCUCCCUUUUGUGCCUCUCUCCAUCACAUUCGAUGAUAUAAAAUACAGUGUAGACAUGCCACAGGAAAUUAAAGCACAAGGUGUGGCAGAGAGUCGGUUGGAACUACUGAAGGGUAUCAGUGGUUCAUUUAGGCCAGGAGUGCUUACAGCUCUUAUGGGUGUCAGUGGUGCCGGUAAGACAACACUGAUGGAUGUGUUGGCUGGACGGAAGACCAGUGGAUACAUAGAGGGCAACAUUACAAUCUCUGGUUAUCCAAAGAAGCAAGAAACUUUUGCUCGUGUAUCGGGAUACUGUGAGCAGAACGACAUUCAUUCACCAAAUGUGACCGUCUAUGAGUCUCUUGCAUUCUCUUCAUGGCUCCGAUUACCUGCCAAUGUUGAUUCCUCGACAAGAAAGAUGUUCAUUGAUGAGGUCAUGGAAUUGGUGGAACUCUCCCCCUUAAGAGAUGCAUUGGUUGGAUUACCUGGUGUGAGUGGAUUGUCGACUGAGCAAAGGAAAAGGCUAACAAUAGCAGUGGAGCUGGUUGCUAACCCUUCCAUCAUUUUCAUGGACGAACCAACAUCUGGACUUGAUGCACGGGCAGCAGCCAUUGUCAUGAGGGCAAUAAGGAAUACUGUAGAUACAGGACGGACAGUUGUUUGCACCAUUCAUCAACCAAGCAUCGACAUAUUUGAGUCUUUUGAUGAGCUCUUCCUGAUGAAACGAGGAGGUGAAGAGAUUUAUGUAGGUCCACUAGGCCGGCACUCAUGUGAACUGAUUAGAUAUUUUGAGGCUACUGAAGAUGUCAGAAAGAUUAAAGACGGUUACAAUCCUUCAACAUGGAUGCUGGAAGUGACUAGUGCAACACAAGAACAGAUGACUGGGAUUAACUUCAGUCAAGUAUACAAGAAUUCUGAACUAUAUCGGAGGAACAAAAAUCUAAUAAAGGAGCUAAGCACACCUCCUGAAGGUUCAAGCGACCUAUCCUUUCCAACCCAAUACUCACAAACUUUCCUCACACAGUCUUUUGCUUGCCUGUGGAAGCAAAGCCUGUCAUACUGGAGAAACCCUCCAUAUACAGCUGUCAAGUACUUCUAUACUACAGUGAUUGCACUGUUGUUUGGGACAAUGUUCUGGGGCAUUGGCAAAAAAAGACACAAUCAACAGGACUUGUUCAAUGCCAUGGGUUCCAUGUAUUCCUCAGUUUUGUUCAUGGGGGUGCAGAACUCUGCCUCAGUUCAGCCAGUUGUGGCUGUUGAGCGCACGGUCUUUUACAGGGAAAGAGCGGCUCACAUGUACUCACCUUUGCCAUAUGCAUUGGGACAGGUUGCAAUUGAACUUCCAUACAUCUUUGUUCAGUCCUUAAUAUAUGGUGUGCUAGUAUAUGCUAUGAUUGGGUUCGAGUGGACAGCUGUCAAAUUCUUUUGGUACCUGUUCUUCAUGUACUUCACUCUAGCUUAUUUCACAUUUUACGGAAUGAUGUCGGUGGGCCUGACUCCAAACUACAACGUUGCCUCUGUUGCUUCCACGGCAUUCUAUGCUCUCUGGAACCUUUUCUCAGGAUUUAUUACACCAAGAACUAGAAUCCCGAUAUGGUGGAGAUGGUACUACUGGCUCAGCCCUAUUGCAUGGACACUGAAUGGUCUGGUCACUUCACAGUUUGGAGACGUAACCGAAAAGUUUGAUAAUGGCGUGCGGGUAUCCGAUUUUGUAGAAAGCUAUUUUGGGUACCAUCAUGACUUCUUGUGGGUGGUCGCUGUGGUGGUCGUCUCAUUCGCUCUUCUCUUUGCUUUCCUAUUCGGGCUCUCAAUCAAGCUAUUCAACUUCCAAAAGAGAUGA